rnacentral:rRNA from 1 species
GUGGGGAAUAUUAGGCAAUGGGCGAAAGCCUGACCUAGCAACGCCGCGUGAAGGAAGAAGGCCUUCGGGUUGUAAACUUCUUUUAUGAGGGACGAAGGACGUGACGGUACCUCAUGAAUAAGCCACGGCUAACUACGUGCCAGCAGCCGCGGUAAUACGUAGGUGGCGAGCGUUGUCCGGAUUUACUGGGUGUAAAGGGCGCGUAGGCGGACUGGCAAGUCAGAUAUGAAAUACAGGGGCUCAACCCCUGAACUGCAUUUGAAACUGUUGGUCUUGAGUAUCGGAGAGGCAAGCGGAAUUCCUAGUGUAGCGGUGAAAUGCGUAGAUAUUAGGAGGAACACCAGUGGCGAAGGCGGCUUGCUGGACGACAACUGACGCUGAGGCGCGAAAGCGUGGGGAGCAAACAGGAUUAGAAACCCCGGUAGUCC